rnacentral:rRNA from 1 species
CUGCGAAUGGCUCAUUAAAUCAGUUAUCGUUUAUUUGAUAGUACCUUACCACUUGGAUAACCGUGGUAAUUCUAGAGCUAAUACAUGCUAAAAACCCCGACUUCGGAAGGGGUGUGUUUAUUAGAUAAAAAACCAAUGCCCUUCGGGGCUCUUUGGUGAUUCAUGAUAACCUAACGGAUCGCAUGGCCUUGCGCCGGCGACGGUUCAUUCAAAUUUCUGCCCUAUCAACUUUCGAUGGUAAGGUAUUGGCUUACCAUGGUUUCAACGGGUAACGGGGAAUUAGGGUUCGAUUCCGGAGAGGGAGCCUGAGAAACGGCUACCACAUCCAAGGAAGGCAGCAGGCGCGCAAAUUACCCAAUCCCGACACGGGGAGGUAGUGACAAUAAAUACUGAUACAGGGCUCUUUUGGGUCUUGUAAUUGGAAUGAGUACAAUUUAAACCCCUUAACGAGGAACAAUUGGAGGGCAAGUCUGGUGCCAGCAGCCGCGGUAAUUCCAGCUCCAAUAGCGUAUAUUAAAGUUGUUGCAGUUAAAAAGCUCGUAGUUGAAACUUGGGUCUGGCUAGCGGGUCCGCCUCACCGCGUGCACUUGUCCGGCUGGACCUUUCCUUCUGGAGAACCUCAUGCCCUUUACUGGGUGUGUUGGGGAACCAGGACUUUUACUUUGAAAAAAUUAGAGUGUUCAAAGCAGGCCUUUGCUCGAAUACGUUAGCAUGGAAUAAUAGAAUAGGACGUGCGGUCCUAUUUUGUUGGUUUCUAGGAUCGCCGUAAUGAUUAAUAGGGAUAGUCGGGGGCAUCAGUAUUCAAUUGUCAGAGGUGAAAUUCUUGGAUUUAUUGAAGACUAACUACUGCGAAAGCAUUUGCCAAGGAUGUUUUCAUUAAUCAGUGAACGAAAGUUAGGGGAUCGAAGACGAUCAGAUACCGUCGUAGUCUUAACCGUAAACUAUGCCGACUAGGGAUCGGGCGAUGUUUCUAUCUUGACUCGCUCGGCACCUUACGAGAAAUCAAAG